UGUAUGACUCCUCAUGUAGAAGAGAGCUUCAGCUGAUGGGUUCCUCAUGUUAAUUCCAUUUUCUUCUUCCUUUAACCAAUUUCGUCCUCCAUUAGAGGGGUUUUUGAAGCACCAUUUAGAAAGACUUGUAGUGAGAGUUUGAUGUUGAGGUGUGAAUGAAAAAUGACCUAGAGGGAAUGAGGUUUCUAUUGAUAUAGUAUAUGUGGCCAUUCCUUAAUCCAUGGGUUUCAGAAAGUGCUUUGAAAAGAGGAGGAUCUUAGUUGUGCUUCAAUGGAGAGUUCUUCAUCUUCAUCAUCUUGUUGGUGGGUUCAAUCUAUACUUGGAAUAGCUUGGAGGUGUUUGUUCCUAGGGUUUGAACUCCUUUGAGGUUAUGGACAAGAGGUCGUAGAGGGCAUUCCUCCACAGCCAUGGACGGAUGUUGGGUUUUAUUUUGUUGUAUAUCUUUGUGUAAAUAGAGAAUGUAUAUUUUGAAACCAACAUAUAUAUUUAUAAAUAUUCUUCCAAACAGAUUUUGUUUAAUUAUUGUAAUUAAAGAAUUAUGGGGUUUUACGUAUGAAACCUACUUUUAUAAUUUCAGAUAAUGUAUAAACAGGGAAAUGGAUUUUGUGUGUGUGUUA